UACAGGAGGAUUAGACUAGAUUUAUUUGUGGUUCAGGUUUCUUUUGAUAGUCUCAAACCAUAUUUUUGGGCAGUCAUCUAUAGUGUCCUAUGGGAAGGUCUGUUAAUGUGCUUCCUCAGCAGCUGAGUUGUGCUGAGAUUGCUGUCCAGUGGCAUGACAUGAGCUGUACUUUGGCAGAGAAGAAGGGAGCUGGUCAGAUGCAGUUUAAAAGACAUCUGCAGAGUACUGGAGAACAGGAAGUCACGUUUAGUCACACUUAUCCUGAAAAAUAAAUGGAAAACUUUUGACUUGGUUUGUUUUCUUUCCUAAAAAGAAGUCCGCUCUGCCUAUCAAGAAGCUGUUUAAACAGAGAGCUUUACUUUCUGUUGUAACAGCAAAGUACUGAAGAUCUUUUCAAAUGUGUUUGUUAAUUAUUUACCUUUAAAGCACCUCGCAUAUCUAAUACAACCUUCUAAAAGCAACAAUCUUCAGAAGAUGGAAGCAUAAUUUAGUGGAAUUGUCACUAUAAGUCUAGGUCUUAAUUCUUUGUUUCUUUCCAAAGCUGAUUAGUUUUUUCUGUAAUAUGUUAGGUGUAGAUCAUACCAAGUCUGGUGUCACAUGAAUAGAAUGGAAUAUUUCAGUUGGAAGGAACUAAAUCAUCUGGUCCAACUGCCUGAUCAAUUCAGGUCUGACUGAAAGUUAAAGCAAAUUAAGGGCAUUGUCCAAAUGCCUCUAACUGUUACUCUUAAAAAUUAUACCAGCUUUUCCAAUGAAAUAUGGUUUCAGUUUCAGAGGCUUUGUAGCUGCCAAGAACUAUGGAGAAAAUUGAGGUGUGGGGUUUUCUUUCUUUUCUUACUUUUGCUGUUACAUUGCAGUUUUCUCAUAACUGGCCUGUGAAAUGUGCUUUUCUUUCUGUCAUAAUGUGUUUUAUGAUCUGUAGGUGAAGAAUGGUGUCCAGUUUUAUGGAAGAUUUUUUAAAAAUAUGCUGGAAGCUAGUGGCAUGAGUAAAUGUACCUAUUGGAAUAUUCUUUCAAAUGCAAAAUUGAUUUGAAAAGUACUCUGAAAUAAAGCAGUGUCAUCAAAACA